ensembl:snoRNA
UGCCUCCUUGUGCUUACCACAGGCUGUGCUCUUGCACUGACUGUAUAGAAAAAGGAGGCAAAGUAAGUGCCCUGUAUACACCUCAACCCAAGCCCUGUCUGUGCCUGGUUUGUAUUGUGAAUGGGGCCACAUGG